CGGUUGAUCCUGCCGGAGGUCACUGCUAUUGGAGUUCGAUUAAGCCAUGCGAGUCAAGAGUUCUUCGUGAACUCGGCGGACUGCUCAGUAACACGUGGGUAAUCUACCCUAAGGUCAGGGAUAAUCCCGGGAAACUGGGAAUAAUACCUGAUAGGUGAAGAUGUCUGGAACGAUACUUCGCCUAAAGCUCCGGCGCCUUAGGAUGAGCCUGCGCCCGAUUAGGUUGUUGGUGGUGUAAGGGACCACCAAGCCUGUGAUCGGUACGGGUGUUGAGAGACAUAGCCCGGAGAUGGGGGCUGAGACACGGCCCCAGGCCCUACGGGGCGCAGCAGGCGCGAAAACUACGCAAUGCGCGAAAGCGUGACGUGGGAACUCCAAGUGCCUUGCCUUAGGGUAAGGCUUUUGUUUAGUGUAAGUAGCUAAACGAAUAAGUGCUGGGUAAGACCGGUGCCAGCCGCCGCGGUAACACCGGCAGCGCAAGUGGUGACCGCUUUUAUUGGGCCUAAAGCGUUCGUAGCCGGUUUGGUAAGUCUUUGGGUAAAUCCUCUGGCUCAACCAGAGGAAUUCCGGAGAUACUGCCAGACUUGGAGUUGAGAGAGGUCAGAGGUACCUCUGGGGUAGGGGUGAAAUCCUAUAAUCCUAGGGGGACCACCAGUGGCGAAGGCGUCUGACUAGAGCAAGCUCGACGGUGAGGGACGAAAGCCAGGGGCGCGAACGGGAUUAGAUACCCCGGUAGUCCUGGCCGUAAACGCUGCGCGCUAGGUGUU
rnacentral:rRNA from 1 species